rnacentral:rRNA from 1 species
UACGUAGGGCGCAAGCGUGUCCGGAAUUAUUGGGCGUAAAGAGCUCGUAGGCGGUUUGUCGCGUCUGCUGUGAAAACCCGAGGCUCAACCUCGGGCCUGCAGUGGGUACGGGGCAGACUAGAGUGCGGUAGGGGAGACUGGAAUUCCCGGUGUAGCGGUGAAAUGCGCAGAGAUCGGGAGGAACACCAAUGGCGAAAGCAGGUAACUGGACCAUUACUGACACUCAGCUGCGAAAGCUAGGGGAGCAAACAGG